GGACCGGGCCCCGCGGUGGUCGCACACGCGACUCGGAGGAUUCUGCUGACACCACAUGAAUGCAGAGAUCAAGCACCAAUGUGCUACGUACUGAAGGGAGACCAACAGAAACUCCUGCCCCUGCCCAGCAGUUGUCUGUGCCACAGCACAAGAUUUAACUUUCAGCAUCUUCCCCUGCAAGUGGCACUUCAGUCCCCGACAGCAAGCCUGUCCAUUUUCCCUCUUCCGUAGUGACUGUGUGACCAGACAGGCGGUAGCACGUACAAAUCAGAGAAAAGGCAUUUUCAGAAUAUUUGUGAGAGAAGACAUUCCCUAAGGGGAAAAAAGAAUCACACAGCAACUGCCUCCUGCGUAAUGUGGUCCUGCAGAGUUCCAGCACAACCAGAUCUCCCUGCCAUAAUUCAGUUCCCUACUCCUCGGACUACUGAAGUAACAUGCAGAGCAAUACUACAGAUCACAGAAAUCCGAACAAAGACGUUUUCCAACUAAGGCUCAUUGGAAAGAAGCUUUCUGUGGCCAGGUACAGCUGAAGCCCCAAAGCCUAUCCUUCCAUCACAUCGGUCUCUGUUUAUAACCUUAGAAAAGCUAAACAUAUGGAAGUUCCACAGAAUAGUCAUUCUUCAUGAAACUUUCUUUUAUGCACUCAGCUUCAUUUUUAAAUAGCUGUCUUCAUGUAAAGCAUUUUGUUGCAGGGUAAAAAAACGAUACUGGAAGGUUUUGAUAUUCCCACAUACCAUCCUCCCAGCAGCUGUGGCUACAGCAAACCCCUGUUCAAAGGACACCACCACCACUCUGCUUAUGGUAUACUGAAUUUACUUACAGUCUCACAAUUGGAUUCAUCUCAGAGACUUUCAUAAUUUAUGUCUGUAACCUGUAUUUCCUUUCCUCAGUGAUUUUAUGUUAUAAACUACCCUUUGUCCAAUGA